rnacentral:rRNA from 1 species
CUUGCCAUCGGAUGUCGCCCAGAUGGGAUUAGCUUGUUGGUGGGGUAACGGCUCGCCAAGGCGACGAUCCCUAGCUGGUCUGAGAGGAUGACCAGCCACACUGGAACUGAGACACGGUCCAGACUCCUACGGGAGGCAGCAGUGGGGAAUAUUGCACAAUGGGCGCAAGCCUGAUGCAGCCAUGCCGCGUGUAUGAAGAAGGCCUUCUGGUUGUAAAGUACUUUCAGCGGGGAGGAAGGGAGUAAAGUUAAUACCUUUGCUCAUUGACGUUACCCGCAGAAGAAGCACCGGCUAACUCCGUG